AACAGGAUUAGAUACCCUGGUAGUCCACGCCGUAAACGAUGUCGACUUGGAGGUUGUGCCCUUGAGGCGUGGCCUCCGGAGCUAACGCGUUAAGUCGACCGCCUGGGGAGUACGGCCGCAAGGUUAAAACUCAAAUGAAUUGACGGGGGCCCGCACAAGCGGUGGAGCAUGUGGUUUAAUUCGAUGCAACGCGAAGAACCUUACCUACUCUUGACAUCCAGAGAACUUAGCAGAGAUGCUUUGGUGCCUUCGGGAACUCUGAGACAGGUGCUGCAUGGCUGUCGUCAGCUCGUGUUGUGAAAUGUUGGGUUAAGUCCCGCAACGAGCGCAACCCUUAUCCUUUGUUGCCAGCGAUUCGGUCGGGAACUCAAAGGAGACUGCCAGUGAUAAACUGGAGGAAGGUGGGGAUGACGUCAAGUCAUCAUGGCCCUUGCGAGUAGGGCUACACACGUGCUACAAUGGCAUAUACAAAGAGAAGCGACCUCGCGAGAGCAAGCGGACCUCAUAAAGUAUGUCGUAGUCCGGAUUGGAGUCUGCAACUCGACUCCAUGAAGUCGGAAUCGCUAGUAAUCGUGGAUCAGAAUGCCACGGUGAAUACGUUCCCGGGCCUUGUACACACCGCCCGUCACACCAUGGGAGUGGGUUGCAAAAGAAGUAGGUAGCUUAACCUUCGGGAGGGCGCUUACCACUUUGUGAUUCAUGACUGGGGUGAAGUCGUAACAAGGUAACC
rnacentral:rRNA from 1 species